GUGCCCAUCCGAAGCGGCCCGUGCUUUAGGGUGGCAACACAGGAGGGAAGAGCGUCCCUCCCGCUUAAAACCCGGGGCAGGGCCGUCGCUCCCUGCUUUCGGAUCCUGUCGCGGGAGACAGCC